AGAGAGAGACAUGCGCGCAUAUCAAUAAGCGGAGGAAAAGAAACUAACAAGGAUUCCCUUAGUAACGGCGAGUGAAGCGGGAAGAGCUCAAAUUUGAAAUCUUCAAGGUUUUACCUUGACGAAUUGUAGUUUAAAGAAGUGUUUUCUGCUGAAGUUUUGGUAAAAGUUCUUUGGAAUAGGACAUCAUAGAGGGUGAGAAUCCCGUAUUUGACCAUUAUUUUCAGCUUUGUGAUACACUUUCAAAGAGUCGGAUUGUUUGGGAAUGCAGUCCAAAAUGGGUGGUAAAUUUCAUCUAAAGCUAAAUAUUGGCGAGAGACCGAUAGCGAACAAGUACCGUGAGGGAAAGAUGAAAAGAACUUUGAAAAGAGAGUUAAACAGUACGCUGAAAUUGUCAAAAGGGAAGCGUUUGACACCAGUGUUGUUUUCUCGAAAAUCAAUUAAAAAUGGCUCGAUUUUGUAUUGCUGAGACCUUAAAAGCUCACUGUACAUUUUUCGUGUCUUUUUUAAUGCACUUUUCGUUUAACAAGUCAACAUCAGUUUCUUUUGUUGUAAAAGGGUCAUUGGAAGGUGGCUUUCUUUUCGGAGAAAGUGUUUAUAGCCUUUGGACUCUGCAAUCGGAGAGACUGAGGUCUGCAGCGUAGACUCUUCGGGGUUAGAUACAUUUGUGCUAAGUUAUAGCUUUUUAUAGACAACUUGUUGACUAUAAUUAGUCUUGUAGCUUACUCGCUUAUGCUAUUUUACCUACGCUUAGGAUGUUGAAGAUGUAGCACAUCAU
rnacentral:rRNA from 1 species